rfam:Schistosoma mattheei strain Denwood, Zambia genome assembly, scaffold: SMTD_scaffold0018265
AUCCAGCUGACGAGUCCUCAAUAGGACGAGACGCGCGUCUUGGAU